AGCAACAGCAACAAAAUGUAUAGCAAUAAGCCCACAUACACACAUUAUUACACACACACACACACACACACAUGCACCAUGGAUGGAGAAGCGUAAGCGAAGCAAACGUAAGGAUUAAUGCAUAAUGCAAAACUUAACUCUAAGCAGCAGUAUAAAUAUAGCUAAACUAAUAAAUUUCUAAAUGAAUAAUAAAUUUAGUGAGCGUUUCAUGUACAUUUUUACGUAACUCUCCCCUAUCCAAAAACAAACAAAAAAUCGCAAAAUAAAAAUUUAAAUUUAAAAUCUUCGAGAUUCAUGCGAAAAGAGUUUAAAGUUUGAAAAGACAUUUUAAAAUCGAUUUUUUAUAUACCUUACUAAACAUAUUCGUCAGCAGCUUUUAAAAACUAUAUACGUGUAUAAAAGUUAUCUACUAAUUUAGUUGGUAUAACCAACCACCAUGCCAAUACCAGCCCAAUAUAUUCGACAGUUUCUUUAUUUAUGCACAUUUUUUUGUCCUUUUUCUUGUAUUGAAAAUUUACUGCUAACUUAUGUGAGAGAGUCCAUUAACUAAUAUAAGCGUAUGCAUGGAGUCAAAAGAGCAAAACGAACGCGUAUGAAGAAAGAAUUGUACAUAAAUUUUUGUUCUUAUGUAUGGAAAAAAGAAAUAUAAAUAAAACGUAUAUGAGCGUUAAAAUGUACAGUGUACGUGGCGUUUGUCAAAUUUACUCUAUAGAAUUUUUCGGUAUGCCUAAGGGGAUUUCUAUUGUCAGAUUUAUUAAAAACAAAUCAAAUUUACGUGAACUUAGUUUUAACGUAGAGAAAGUCUAAUCUUAAUUAGAUCCGAAAUUAAAUGUUAUUCGUUAUACAGCACGCCAACUAUCGCCUGGCCAGGCCGAACGAAGCUGCGCAAAUAGAAAUGACUUGCUUUUAGAUUUUCAAAAUAAAUAUGCUAAGUUCUUGGGUAAACACAGACACUGAGGCCGCGACGGGGACAGAGACAGGGGCGCCGAUUCCAGUUAAGACUUUGAUGCCGAUCCGAUCCGAUUCGAUCGGAAUCGAUUCGAUUCGAUCUGACGCACUGAUAAGGCCAAGCCAAAGAGUCGGAGAGCGCAGCAGCAGCUUGCGGCGCUCAAAUGGAGCAGCCCCUCGAAAAAAAGAAACAAGGCUGUAGUGAAAAGUAUUCGCUUGGCAAAUACCCUACAAACUUUACGGCAUACCAAAUCGUACAUAAUUCAAAUGCACCAUAUUUGAGGAAAAAGUUAGAUGCUUUGAGAAUUUGAAGAAUUUCUA